GCUUCAGUGCUGUCAAAUAAAAAGGUGAGGGAUUUAUUUCACUUAACAGUGUGGGUAAGAUUUCCUGAUCAGCACUAGCCUAUCUGAAGGUGAAAAGUAAUAAUUAAAGGCAGAAAAGGUAAGAAAAGGCACAAUCUUGCCUAAAGACUUCAUUUGUCUCCCAAAGCACCCAUCAGUCAUGUGUGAAGGGAGCCCCUUAAGCUCUCUGAUAACCAAAAUUGAUUAUUAUAAUUAUUUAUACUUAUCUGGGGUUCUUUUCACAAAACUUUUAAACCUCUUCAAGAAUGGGAGUGAAUGUUGUUGUCCUCGAUAUACAGAGGGUAAAACUGAGGUAUGGUGUGACUACAAUGUGUCAGAGAUUAUAUGAUUAAUCUGAAGGUGAAAUGGCAGUUCAAAUAUUUUAAACUCUGUCAUUAGACCCAAGCACCAACUCAUGCUGCUUUUAUUUUUCUUCUCUCUAUAUUGUCAAAUGCAAAAUAUGAACUUGCUCCUGUGGCUUUUUUAAUGGUAUUUUGGAAUGGCCUCCAAACUUUUUAGAGGCCCAAAUUUGUGUUGCUUGUGUUUGUUUGUUUUGUUGUUGUUUUGUUUUGUUUGGUGUGUUGUUGUUUCUUUUGGUUGUUUUUUUGUUUUUGUUUUUUGUUGUGUAGGCCAAGAAACAAAUUCAGCUUUAAUUGUCAUAGGAGCUGCUAGAGAAGACAAUCUCAGUGUCAUCAGUUCUCUACAGAGAAAGCAAUGUGGAGCUGCUCUGAGGUGCAGCUAUAUUGUGAGCAGGGAGAAAAAGUUACAGAAAAAAAAUAUACUUGGGUUAUUUUAUCUUUUGAUUCUUUAAAAAAUAAUCUAGCCACUUUUUAUAAAUAUGAGUUCCAAGAUGAAUUUUGGUACCUUUUUCUGCUUGUGUUGCAAACAGGACACCUUGAUAAGCGUGAUUCCUAGAGCUGAAGGGAGACACCACAGCCAGACAAGGUGUGCAACCACCUGACUUAUUUCUUCAACCACCUGAUUUAUUUCUAGUACAAUUAGAACAAACAGCCCUUUCCUUUUUAAUAAAGAUAAAGCACCUAGUUUAAAAAUCACGAGGAGGUGAGCAAAGAACCUGCUGUGCCCCUGGAUUCUGCAUUUACCACUUUGCUAAAGAGAGCCUAUGAGAGAGGAAGCAAUACCCUACUGGAAGGUGGUGUUCAGACAAAAUUGGCUUCCUGGCUCCCACCUGACCAGCUUUUGUUGGGAGUAAAGCAUGUGCUGUUAUACCUGAAAUCCACAGUGGAGAACUUCAGCAGGGUAAGAGCAAUAUUGUAAUAAUAUUGUGGUUAUGUUUGAUUUAUUUUCAUGUAGAAGGUAGACUUAGCUGUUCAAACUUAGGUUCCAGUUCUGCAGCCCUUUUUUCUGUACUUGUCUCUGAGCCUACACAGUACAAAACUGCAUGUAAUUUGUAAGCAAAUGUAAGUUCUUAUUAUUGAGGAGCCUUGGAUUUACUUUGCAUGGGUUACCUUGCUGAUCAGUGUGAAUGCAAAUAAACUCAAGAUUUUAAUCCAGCUCCUGGGUCUCCCUAAGAAGCCUUUGCAGAGAGUAAAAUUCACUGGCCUGUGUACCUCCAAAUGUCACAGCAUAAAUGAAAUUCUAUCACUAUUUUUUUGGCAACCUGAGACUUCUCUUAGCAUCAGGUUUCUAUUAAGGGAAGUGGUCCCUUCCCCCAGAAGAGGUUGUAAUCUAAGUAAUUCUUAGUUAACUCCUAUUCCUGUUGUAUAAUUACCCUUCUGCUCCCAUCCUCCUCUUUUCUUCACUUCCAAGAUGUCUUUAUUUUCAUAGCUUGGUAAAACUUUGGGUCCUCAACUUGUUGAGCUCUGUGUGGACCUGCUGAGCAUCUUGUUGUGCUGGGACAAUGAAAUAAAGCUGGAGCAGCAGCAGAAACAGGAGGAGCAUCAGGUUGAUGGGAUCUCUUCAUGGAUGAGGAGCCUCUGAUGACAGAAGUGUCUUCAAAUGACAAGACCCUGGAGGAUGCACUCACCUUGAUUUUCAGACAUCCUGCACUGGAGAGCUGGUUCCUGGCGUUGGAGCUGCGCUCUAUUCCUCAGCCUGGUCUGAACCCUGUCACUGUGAAGCUCCUGUCAGCUCACCUCCAUUCUGGGGUGCUCCAGCUGCUGAAAACGAGAGAUCACAGACACGUCUUGUCCAAGUAUUUCAAAGCCAUCACCAAAAGUGUCCUGGAAGAGCUGCAGACUGGGGGGAAGGACCAAAGCCAGGUCUAUCCCAGGAAGUCUCACCAGCUGCAGGCUCUGGAGGAGCUGCACAUGUACAUGACUGCAGCUCAGCUGAAGGAGAUCACUUUAACCAUGCUGCAACUUCCUGAGAUGGGCUUGGCUUCUCAGAAAUCUGAAAAAUCCCCUAAAAUAGGGAAGCAGUUAAGCUUCUAUGGACAAAUUUUGGUACAGCUCUUUACAGACAGUCCUUGUUUUUGCAGAUGGUGUUGAGGUGCAGGCUCACUGCCUUGCCCAGUGCUCACUCACCUCACUGGCCAUUGUGGCCAUGCUGAUCCAGCACUCCAGGACUCACCUGCUGCAAUUGGAGCUCUGGUGUCUGAGCAGUGCCACUGGGAAGUACCUGAGGAAGCACAUGGAGAGCUUUCUUCCACUGGUUCAUGUGCAUUUGCAGUGCAGAGACCUGUAUGGAUUCAGCCGACCUUCCGCAGUUGUCUCGGCUGUCACGCCUGUCCUGAGGAAAGGCCUGUGGAAGGAGCUGGGAUUCAGGACGCUGGAGCGUCCCACGAGGCCUCCGUGAAACUGCAAAUCCUUUCUAAGCUGUUGCCACCUUUGGAAAGCAAAGGGCUGCACAGUCUAAUGGACCAGCUUCCUGCUGCUCUUUCUCUCUCCCUCUGUUUCUCUAACUCUAUUUCCCUCUAUUUCUCUCCCCCUCUGUUCCUUUAACUCUCUUUCCCUCUAUUUCUUUUUCUCCCCUUCUGUUUCUCUAUUUCAU